rnacentral:rRNA from 1 species
CGCACAAGCGGUGGAUGAUGUGGAUUAAUUCGAUGCAACGCGAUGAACCUUACCUACCCUUGACAUGUCACUAACGAAGUAGAGAUACAUUAGGUGCUCGUAAGAGGAAGUGAACACAGGUGCUGCAUGGCUGUCGUCAGCUCGUGUCGUGAGAUGUUGGGUUAAGUCCCGCAACGAGCGCAACCCUUGUCUUUAGUUGCUACGCAAGAGCACUCUAAAGAGACUGCCGGUGACAAACCGGAGGAAGGUGGGGAUGACGUCAAGUCCUCAUGGCCCUUAUGGGUAGGGCUUCACACGUCAUACAAUGGUGCAUACAGAGGGUUGCCAACCCGCGAGGGGGAGCUAAUCUCAGAAAAUGCAUCGUAGUCCGGAUCGUAGUCUGCAACUCGACUACGUGAAGCUGGAAUCGCUAGUAAUCGCGGAUCAGAAUGUCGCGGUGAAUACGUUCCCGGGUCUUGUACACACCGCCCGUCAUACCAUGGGAGUGGGUUUUGCC